AGGGGGAGCGCAGUGAACUUGGUGUCGCGACGGAGCACGGCGCCGGCAAAUGGCGUCUGUGGUCGAUAGACACAUCGGUGGGUGGUUGGUUUCCUCCGUUUCUACGGCAGAACGCAGCCAGGUUCGUAUGGGAAACCAAAAGAUGGUGUUGGGGUUGGUCGGCUGCCAUGCGGCCGGUCACGAAGACCUUGAGGUUUCGCCUCGUACGCUUUAUCCUCCCUGGUUUAUACUUUUAACGUCAUGGCUGACGCCAUUUUUCUGACGUCAAUAAGAUCCUCGUGGCGUAGCCUAGAAAAACGAUUUUCUUCCUUACCAUCGAGAACCUUCUGCGAAUCGCCCCUUUGACCGUACGUGACAUUUAUUACCGAUUGACGAAUCGGUAAUUUCUAUCGACAACGUUCUAUCAAUAACAUAUACACACGCGCUAUAAACGUCUCCGGAGAGGAAUCCGAUAUAAGAGAAAUUACAGACAGGAGGUGUGAACAAUCAGGCGUGCAGAGUUAAUAUUAACCUCGGCCGGGUCUUGCUUUCAGAGCUAAACGGUACGUAUGUGUGAAGAGUUCUGGUAAGUACACCCCUGAACACGUUGCUACCGCGUCGAUCGAUCGAUUUAUGGGUUCAGCCUCGCGGUUUCGAGACGGAUCUUUCUCAGCGAAUCAGAGACGACCACCACCUCCACCGCGGAUACGAGGAAGACUCGAUUUAUGUGAAUUUCGCCUUGAUCCUUGUCCCACGACCACCGACGAGAUAACGCAGGAUGUUCGCUUGACCUUAAAAAUGCUAUCGGUUUCUCUUUUCCCUUGUCCCUACUACUCUUACAUUCGACGUGCCAUCGAAAUCUAAUCAUUUCGCCUGACUAACUCGCGGAAGCACCUAUGCGAGACUUUAAUUUAAAGCGACGCGAAGCAACGCUGGCUCCCCGAUAAAAGACGGUCCAAGAAUGCAGUCUGGGAAGGAGUCGAGGUCGUAAGGUGUUCCCUCUUGUUUUGCGUGUUUGCUAUCGAAUCGGGAUGCUUCAGAAAGAAAAUGGCGAUGAUACCGCGAAUAAAAUAGCCUUGCAGACAUAAAUAUCAAAAGGGAGGAAAAGAGGAUAGGAUAAAAACUAGAGACGAGCAGUGCUAGAUACCAUAAGGACAGCUGGAGAUGCGAAACACCAUAAAAGCAGGCGAACGCAACGGACUGACUGCCCUGGACAGGCGCAAGACGAGCAAGUGCCAUUGAUACAAAUUUCGAAUUGGACGACAAGGAGGGAACAUCGAUUUCGUGAUACGAUCUUGUUUGAAGCAAUGCUUCCUGCUCGUGAUGGUAGCGCAGG